rnacentral:miRNA from 12 species
UUCUGAUCACCUCGAACGUUGCUUUGGUGAAAACCCAGAGCAAAAGCAAACGAGAAGGUCGGUCUGAA